AAGGGAGACCUAAUUCAGGUAGGAGACGAAAAAAAGUAGUCCCUACCAAGAAUCAAUCCCAAAAGGUCGGAGCGAGGCAAAAUUGGCUUUCAAACUAGGUUCUGGGUUCACAUAAGACCUGAAUCAGGAACAAGGGCUAUUAGCUCAGGUGGUUAGAGCGCACCCCUGAUAAGGGUGAGGUCCCUGGUUCGAGUCCAGGAUGGCCCACCUGCACAGGUGGCAAAAACAAAGAAAAAAAGCUCCGAAUCAGCACCUUAUCUUACUCAUAUAGUAAGAGAGGAUGCUGGCUCUGAGUUCAGAGUCCAGAGGAACCUUGAAAACUGCAUAGAGCUAGGUGAAAAAGCCAAAAAAGAAGACCGCAAGGUCAAGCUAAUAAGGGCUAACGGUGGAUACCUAGGCAC
rnacentral:tRNA from 1 species